AAAAACCAAAGAGGUUUGUAAUAAUAAAGAAAUGGGGCGGUAGUCUACAUGGCCUUACCUUGCAUAGCAAGACAAAGAUUCGCGCGAUGUGAUGUUUUCAUUUGUAGCCAUCCAUUCCAAAUAGUUCCUUUGUAGUUGAUCGCCCCUAUCAAAUCAAAUAUUUAUGUAAGCUAUGUCUUGGAAACUCACUAUUCUCACCUAUUUUCAAACCAGGAACUUUCUCCAACGGAAGUGGUAAAGAAAAAGUAACAACAUAUAAGAAUACUUAUGCUUGAUCCGAAAUGUGGACGGAAGCUUCGUAUGGAGGAGGGUGUGACGCAAUUGCGGUGCAUGGAUUCAUGCAGAGGGCAAAUCAAGCGCUGUACCGCAUGGCCAUAUGCCGGGCAUGUACACUUGCAAGCGGUAAAUUGCCGCGUUCCCCUUAGGCAGCCCAUUGGGACUCGCUUGUGGGCGUGCACAUGACAGCUUUUCGAGGGUGCGUCAAGAAAUCAGCAUAGCAAGUUUGUAAGAAGGUCUGGUUAGUAAAUGUGUAAAUAGUUCAAUAGUAAUACGCUCUGGUGACAAACUUUCCUGCCCUGUUUCCAAUUGUUUACAUGGCUGGGAGAACCUAUUCAAGUAGCUAGCACACACGUCUUUGUCCCAUGGAGGAGGGUGAAAGGAUAGCAGCCCCAACUGUCAAAGUUCUGUCCCCUGAUAAAGAGAGCAAUGAAAGCCUGUACCAAUGAAGAGCAGUGGUUCUCAAUCCUGGUCCUAGGGAUUUAGAGUUACCAUCUGGGACUGCCUCCUGGAGGAAUUCAGGUGUGUGAGGGCUACCUGUGUCCUGCAUAACGUCAUGAGGAUGGACACGAGGACCAGGAGGUGAUCUGCAGCUCGCUGCCGCAUGCAAGAGGAGAAGUCUGGUGCUCUGCAGGAUGUUUCAAGGAUAGACUACACUAUGCACAACCAAAGGCUCUUUUAAGAGCCAUCCACAUUGCAAUAUGAGUAUUCUUCAAUUUACUUAGCUAUGUCAACUGCUGUUAUUCAAUUCCUUGUUUCUCUCCCUUUGAUUUCUACUUCUCAGCUGAGGGUACUGUUUAGGUAAGGGUGUGACGUCGGUACAAAAACAAAACGGGCAAUUAUAAGUCACCCACAUUGAACAAAUUUAGAACAAUUAGACACCAUAACCCACACCUACACUCAUGUAUCAAUCUAAAGGAUGUGUUGUGCAGUAUGCAGGCUCUGGUGUAUAUAACUGUGGCUCAUUCAAAGAACAGGCAAGAGGGCCAACCAUGGAGAAUAGUAAGACACUUCAUUAUUUCUAUAACUACGCUAAAUUGUUUGUCCUCGUGUGUCCGUUCAUGUUUUUCAGCAUAAAGUUCUCUGCAGCCACUUAGUGUGGACACCAGGUUAUAUCAGCUGUGUCGGUGAACCCCUCCCGCAUCUGAACUGGCUACAUAGAGGGCACAGUAUAAUCAGAGAUAUGUUUUGCUGUGAAAGAGGAUUCCAAUCCCCAGUCCCGUCAUCGCCACCUCACCCGCUCUUAAGAUAACCUUCGGGCCGACUGGGAGUCCAAGGCUGGUUAGGAGACACCACUAGAGACACUUAUGUCAUUUUGAUGAAAUGAAAGAAUAUUAGGGUAGCACUGUGAUUCAUUAAUCAUAUGCUGCCUUCCCUGCUCCAAUGUCCUUACCUCUUUCCCUUUGUCUUUAACACCUCUCUCGCCACGUUUCUUCCUCUGUUUUCAUAAUGCACAACAGAUGUGCAUUGAAGUACAGAUUGAACUUGUAUUUAUAACACUUGGAAAAUUAAACAUUUCACAUUCUCUA